rnacentral:rRNA from 1 species
AGAGUUUGAUCCUGGCUCAGAACGAACGCUGGCGGCGUGGAUAAGACAUGCAAGUCGAACGAGACUUUUCGUUGUAGCAAUACGAUGGAAAGUUUAGUGGCGAACGGGUGCUUAACACGUGGGCAACCUGCCAUGAAGUGGGGGAUAGCUCGCCGAAAGGCGAAUUAAUACCGCAUGUGAUUAGAGAGGACAUCCUUUCAAAAUUAAAGUCGGGGCAACCUGACGCUUCUUGUGGGGCCCGCGGCCUAUCAGCUAGUUGGUGAGGUAACGGCUCACCAAGGCUUUGACGGGUAGCUGGUCUGAGAGGACGACCAGCCACACUGGGACUGAGACACGGCCCAGACACCUACGGGUGGCAGCAGUCGAGAAUUUUUGACAAUGGGGGAAACCCUGAUCGAGCGACGCCGCGUGGAGGAUGAAGGUCUUCGGAUUGUAAACUCCUGUCAUUUGGGAACAAGGUGCACACGUUAACUGCGUGCGUAUUGAUAGUACCAGAAGAGGAAGAGACGGCUAACUCUGUGCCAGCAGCCGCGGUAAUACAGAGGUCUCAAGCGUUGUUCGGAUUCAUUGGGCGUAAAGGGUGCGUAGGCGGCGCGGUAAGUCGGGUGUGAAAUCUCGGAGCUUAACUCCGAAACUGCAUUCGAUACUGCCGUGCUUGAGGACUGGAGAGGAGACUGGAAUUUACGGUGUAGCGGUGAAAUGCGUAGAUAUCGUAAGGAAGACCAGUGGCGAAGGCGGGUCUCUGGACAAGUUCCUGACGCUGAGGCACGAAGGUCAGGGGGAGCAAACGGGGAUUAGAUACCCCCGUAGUCC